UCUCUGUGGGCACCAGGCAAUAGAGUACCGUGUAACGUAUAUAAAACUAGAGAUUCACUCUUUAGGACACACUCUUUAGGACAAAUAAUGUUUAUUUUAUCCUUCAAAUAAAAAUGUAAAUAUACAUUAAAAGAAAUCUGAAAAUUUGAUUCACUUGGAUGUUCCUUCUUAAAGGGACCACAAAGGAAACGUUAGGACCCUGGUAACACUGCAGAGCAGGCUGAACACAUUGCAGCAACCCAGAGGCAGCUCUGAGCCUUCUAUCAAUGGAGAUGUUAGAGCCACAACCCUCUCCACAGGCUCUGGACUUUGUGGCAACAUUGUAACUAGGUAACAUUUACGCAGCUGGGAGUGCUGAUCAACCAGCCAGCGCCAACUUCCUGUGCCCCCAGAGAAAUGAUCAAAU
rnacentral:lncRNA from 1 species